rnacentral:lncRNA from 1 species
ACCCCUGUUGAUGACAAGGAGCCACAAUCGGUGCCCAACAUCGAGUACCUCCUGCCCAACAUUGGCAGGACAGUGCCCCCCAGUGAUCCAGGCUCAGAUUCCACCACCUGCAGUUCAGCCAAGUCCAAGGGUUCGUGGGUCCCCAAGAAAGAGCCUUAUGCCCGGGAGAUGCUGGCGAUCUCCUUCAUCUCUGCGGUAAACCGCAAACGGAAGAAGCGGCGGGAGGCGCGGGGCCUGGGUAGCAGCACCGACGAUGACUCCGAGCAGGAGGCGCACAAGGCUGCGGUGGGGACUCAGGAGCCACCCGAGGGGCAGCUGCCAGGGCCCUCAGCCGAGGAGGCUCCCGGUCGCCUCAGCCCCUCG